rnacentral:lncRNA from 1 species
CAGCAGCAGUUUCUGAACGGACCUUUCAUCUCUGCCCAUCUUAAGAAAGCAAAGAACAGAGUGAAUGCCAAUUAGCAGCUAACCCAAUGGUGCAUCACUGCUGGCACAGAAACUCAUGCAGGCAGCGUUCUCAAUGCUCAGUUGUCAUGUAGAAGUGGGACUUUUCUCCAGUAACGAGACCCAAAACUACAAAUAGCACAUUCUUGUUCUUGCAAAUCCCGGAGUGGUGAUGAAAACCUUUCAGAAAG